rnacentral:rRNA from 1 species
UACGUAGGGGGCAAGCGUUGUCCGGAUUUAUUGGGCGUAAAGAGCGUGUAGGCGGUUAGGUAGGUCCGUUGUGAAAACUCGAGGCUCAACCUCGAGACGCCGAUGGAAACCAUCUGACUAGAGUCCGGAAGAGGAGAGUGGAAUUCCUGGUGUAGCGGUGAAAUGCGCAGAUAUCAGGAAGAACACCCGUGGCGAAAGCGGCUCUCUGGAACGGUACUGACGCUGAGACGCGAAAGCGUGGGGAGCGAACAGG